rnacentral:ncRNA from 1 species
UUGAAAGUUUUGAACAGGAAGAGUAUUUAAAUCGUGUUACUGAAAGAGAGCGAAGUAUAGGUGAAAAUUCGCAGGAGGAUUUAAAGAAAAUCACCUGGGAGCUAAAGAACUGAAAUAAUUAUUAAUUUAGUAGGUUUUUUCGUAUUUCCACGUUAAGGAGUAAAAUGUAUUUGUAUUUUUUGAAAUUUACACAUAGGUGGUAAAGCGAAUAUCAACUUCGUCCUAUUU